GCAAGUGCAAAUAUCAGUACAAUAAUGAAGCCACAGCUGUUGCUUGUAGUGGUCCUCCUUUGCCUGGUGGGAAUGGUCCCAUCGGCCAAACCGCCAAAGAAAAAUAUCGAGAUUUGGAUUAGGCCGAAACCCUACCCCGACAGACCACCACCACCUUAUUAGGAUCAGCACAUCCGCAGCUGUUCUUGUCACCGUGACAAAUGGUCUCAUCUUGAUUGGAGCAAAAGGGGUUCAAAUGAUGUAUAACUUACAACCACAUCAUCAUUGAGAAAUAAAUGGCCUAAAAAAUUUUAA